AUUCAGUGAGUGAUAUAAAAAUAAAUGUCUGGACAUGAAUUCAAUAUUGAUAUCAGCAUUUAAGUCAUUAAAA